GGUCAGGYGGGACCACCCGCUGAGUUUAAGCAUAUC
rnacentral:rRNA from 1 species